AGGAGAUAGACGAGAGCGGAACGAGGAUGGAGCAACGAGACGAACGAAGUAUUAGCCGCGGGGUGGAGGAGGAUAGAGGAUCGAGCUGCUACGAGCAGGUUGUCCGGGUCAAGGAUCGCGACGACGUCCAGAAAAGAGAAAUCUAAAAAAGGAAAUGUAAAGCGAUUACAUAGCUUAGCGCAUGGGACGCAUGUAGCCGCUAGAAAGGUGGAAAAGGUCAGGAAAGGAAAUGCGUAAUACUCAAGGACACCAGGCUCGACGAUUUUCUACGCAGACACCCUCGAACCGGCAUCGGGGAAAACGAGACUCGUGCAACCAAUUCACCGUCUACCCGGCGCACACGAGUCGCAUAGGGUGUCUCCUCUGGUGAUGCUGAUGCACUACCUUUUACAGUUUCUUCGAGUUUGUUUCGGGUAUCGAGGGGGUAAGUUUUGCGGUGACGAAG